rnacentral:rRNA from 1 species
UAAGCCCACGGGGUCUUCGACCCUGAGGGAAAAGGUGGCCUCUGCAUGCAAGCUAUCACUUCAGGAUGAGCCCGCGGCCCAUCAGCUAGUUGGCGGGGUAACGGCCCACCAAGGCUACGACGGGUAGCUGGUCUGAGAGGACGAUCAGCCACACUGGAACUGAGACACGGUCCAGACUCCUACGGGAGGCAGCAGUGGGGAAUCUUGCGCAAUGGGCGAAAGCCUGACGCAGCAACGCCGCGUGUGUGAUGAAGGUCUUCGGAUCGUAAAGCACUGUCGGGAGGGACGAAUAAGCCGUUCGCUAACAUCGUGCGGCGAUGACGGUACCUCCAAAGGAAGCACCGGCUAACUCUGUGCCAGCAGCCGCGGUAA